rfam:Burkholderiales bacterium 66-5 scnpilot_p_inoc_scaffold_10579, whole genome shotgun sequence.
UCGCAUCCGCCAUCCGGUACAGCCGUGUCGCGGAAGGUUUUCCAACCAACUCACGUUUCCUUCAGGGAGACAAAGGUCAGCG